rnacentral:rRNA from 1 species
UGAGGAAAAGGAAACCAACAGGGAUUGCCUCAGUAACGGCGAGUGAAGCGGCAAAAGCUCAAAUUUGAAAUCUAGCACCUUCGGUGUUCGAGUUGUAAUUUGAAGAUGGUAACCUUGGGUUUGGCUCUGUCUAUGUUCCUUGGAACAGGACGUCAUAGAGGGUGAGAAUCCCGUCUGAUGAGAUGCCCAUUCCUAUGUAAGGUGCUAUCGAAGAGUCGAGUUGUUUGGGAAUGCAGCUCUAAGUGGGUGGUAAAUUCCAUCUAAAGCUAAAUAUUGGCGAGAGACCGAUAGCGAACAAGUACAGUGAUGGAAAGAUGAAAAGAACUUUGAAAAGAGAGUGAAAAAGUACGUGAAAUUGUUGAAAGGGAAGGGCAUUAGAUCAGACUUGGUGUUUUACGAUUAUCUUCUCUUCUUGAGUUGUGCACUCGUAUUUCACUGGGCCAGCAUCGAUUCGGAUGGCAAGAUAAUGGCAGUUGAAUGUGGCUUCACUUCGGUGGAGUGUUAUAGCUUCUGCUGAUAUUGCCUGUCUGGAUCGAGGGCUGCGUCUUUGACUAGGAUCACUGGCGUAA